ACGUAGGUGGCAAGCGUUGUCCGGAAUAACUGGGCGUAAAGCGCAUGUAGACGGCAUAGCAAGCCAAGUGUGAAAUUUAGGGGCUUAACCUCUAAACUGCGCUUGGAACUGCUGAGCUUGAGUGCAGGAGAGGCAAGUGGAAUUCCCAGUGUAGCAGUGAAAUGCGUAGAUAUUGGGAGGAACACCAGUGGCGAAGGCGACUUGCUGGACUGCAACUGACGUUGAGAUGCGAAAGCUAGGGGAGCAAACGG
rnacentral:rRNA from 1 species